GAGAUAGAUUGUAAACAAAACAAAGAUUGUGGAAUUUCAAUGCAAGUAGUAUCGUUUGGUGAUCAGAAGAAAAUUAAAGCUAAGUUCGCAGUGGUUAUUGUUGAGUUUGAAUACUUACCCUAAAUUUACGUGCUAAGGCAUUUGCAACUUUAGUACGAAGGCGCGAAGUGAAACUGCGCAGGGAAGUUGAGCACAGGCUACAAUACCACGCAACGAAGCGUUUUCAAUUAGGAAUCGCCAGAUUGAACCGAAAUCGAAUUGAGGUGUAGGGACUAGCAGCGGAAAAUAGCUGGAAUCGAGACGGAAGUAAGCGAUAGGAAGUUCACUAAACGUAAGCUUGAAAAUUGUUCUUAGUGUAUUCCAAAAUUAAUUUGUAUUCAAAUCGUAGGAAUUUAAAACGUGUCCCGGUAGAGCUUCGAACGGACAAAUAAAAGGGAACGUUACGAAUCCGAAAACAAACUUUCGUUGUUACCACGAUCCGGAAGUAACAAUUUACAUUUUAAAUUCGUUUACGAAAAUGUCCGAUUCAGCCAGCACCGCAGCCACUGCUGCCCAAAAAGGUAAGAGCUUAGCGAGUAGUUCCCCUAAGGCGAAAAGUGAUACCCCCCCUCAACUCAAGUCCGUUGCUCUUGGCCCUAACACUGAGAACGGCAAAUCGAAA